CGCGGGAUAGAGCAGUCCGGUAGCUCGUCAGGCUCAUAACCUGAAGGUCAUAGGUUCAAAUCCUAUUCCCGCAACCA
rnacentral:tRNA from 1 species